rnacentral:rRNA from 1 species
AUUUGUGACUAAACUUUCUUGCCAAAGGCUGAUCUCAUCAGAUCUCAGAAGCUAAGCAAGGCAAGGUCUGGUUUGUACUUGGAUGGGAGGCUGCUGGAAAUUCCAUGUGCCAAUG